rnacentral:rRNA from 2 species
GUGGAUCAGAAUGCCACGGUGAAUACGUUCCCGGGCCUUGUACACACCGCCCGUCACACCAUGGGAGUGGGUUGCAAAAGAAGUAGGUAGCUUAACCUUCGGGAGGGCGCUUACCACUUUGUGAUUCAUGACUGGGGUGAAGUCGUAACAAGGUAACCGUAGGGGAACCUGCGGUUGGAUCACCUCCUUACCUUAAAGAA